rnacentral:rRNA from 1 species
UGUCUCCUACGGGGCGCAGCAGUGGGGGAUAUUGCACAAUGGGGGGAACCCUGAUGCAGCGACGCCGCGUGGGUGAAGAAGCGCCUCGGCGCGUAAAGCCCUGUCAGCAGGGAAGAAAAUGACGGUACCUGAAGAAGAAGCCCCGGCUAACUACGUGCCAGCAGCCGCGGUAAUACGUAGGGGGCAAGCGUUAUCCGGAAUGACUGGGCGUAAAGGGUGCGUAGGUGGUUUGACAAGUUGGUAGCGUAACUCCGGGGCUCAACCUCGGCACUACUACCAAAACUGUUGGACUUGAGUGCAGGAGG